UUCGUGUGCUCCUCCGAUCCUCUCGUCGUCGUCGUCCGCUGCGGGCGGUGUCCGCCUGUGGCCACGUCACGAGCACGCUAGCAGCAGGAUAUCCAGCAUCUCGUGAGCUGGUGGGAGUGAGCACCUCAGGGUCCGCGGGGAGCUGCCGCUGCGGGGCUCGAUCGAGCAAACAUGUGUCAUAUGCAGCAUGCAGCUAUUGUACAUCAUAUUCGUGAUGUCAGUAGUAGUUCUGUGCCCGGAUGAUCGAUAUAAUUUGGCAAUUCGACGGCACUCGUGCCAUGUUGGUUGUUGCUUUCCAUGGACCGUACGUGUGGGUUGGCGAGACGAGCGGUGAGCACCUCAAGCUAGGUUGGGCGACGGUCGUCGUCAGACCUGGACAGGAGUACAACGUGCGGCCGGAAAGAACAGAGCAUAUGCAGAGCUCCACGUUGGAUCGGUUGCAUGCCAUCAGAACUUGUUACAUGUACGUGCAAGCAGCAAAACUCUCUGCUAAGGCCUAAGGCAGGCCGACUCAGUCGAGAGGACCUCAGCUCGGCCUGUGAGCAGAUUCCGGCCGGAUCUGAGUGUUUCUUAGCAGUAGCACACGGCCCAGGGCCGUCUCUCAUCGGCCUUUUCUUUCUUUAUUUCUUUUCAGCUGUUUUUCAGCAACUCUGUGCUUGUGCUUGUGCUUGUGCAGGCUGCUGAGCAGCUGAGGUGUCGCAGUCGCAGCUACUUCACCGACUCGCGAUCCCGCAGUUGCUUGGAGAUAUCCAUGCGGUGGCGGCGGCGGUGGAGGCCACUGGCUCCGCCAAACACUGCAGCACUGGCCUGGCCACCAGUUUUCCCCAAUUUUGUCUUCACCAUCCAGGCAUGGCGUGCAACGACCUCUCAAACGGUUCCGAACGCCUCGCCGCUCAAAUUAAUUUACACGGCACAAGCAGCAAACGUAACCCACCCCGUUCCCCUUUUUUUUUGGGAAGACCGUAUACUUAACAAUGAAUUUGGGUCCUUGUUCUUGUUUCUGUUUGCUAGUUGGAGAAAUGAUUACAGAAGCCUAUGAGGUUUUCGUGUCCCUAAAACGCGCUAUAUACUUAUAUAUGAUGCUAUCUAGCCUGAAUCUACCAACAGUUGGGGUUCACUAGUUGGAGAAACGAUUACUAGUACAGUCUAUCUAUAGUAUCGAUACUUGCCCGUUGCCACUGAGCUUAAAACAUGGAAAGAACAACUGAUUGUUAAGUUCAGGGUUUGAUUAAGAUUCCACAGGGAGGUACAGCAAUAAACUACUGUAAUUCUCUUC